rnacentral:rRNA from 1 species
AUUGAACGCUGGCGGCAGGCCUAACACAUGCAAGUCGAGCGGAUGCACGGAGCUUGCUCCUGGAUUCAGCGGCGGACGGGUGGGUAAUGCAUAGGAAUCUGCCUGUUUGUUUUGGCUAACGUCCUGACACGGGCGCUCAUACCCCAUACGUCCUUAGGGAGUACGUGGGGGAGCUUCGGACCUUCCGCUCUCACGUGAGCCGAGGUCGGAUUAGCUAGUUGGUGGGGUAAAGGCCUACCAAGGCGACGAUCCGUAGCUGGUCUGAGAGGAUGAUCAGCCACACUGGAACUGAGACACGGUCCAGACUCCUACGGGAGGCAGCAGUGGGGAAUAUUGGACAAUGGGCGAAAGCCUGAUCCAGCCAUGCCGCGUGGGUGAAGAAGGUCUUCGGGUUGUAAAGCACUUUUGGUGGGGAAGAAGGGCAGCAAGUUAAUACCCCGCUGUUCUGACGGUACCAAAAGAAUAAGCACCGGCUAACUUCGUG